GACGAACGCUGGCGGCGUGCUUAACACAUGCAAGUCGAACGGAAAGGCCCUGCUUUUGUGGGGUGCUCGAGUGGCGAACGGGUGAGUAACACGUGAGUAACCUGCCCUUGACUUUGGGAUAACUUCAGGAAACUGGGGCUAAUACCGGAUAGGAGCUCCUGCUGCAUGGUGGGGGUUGGAAAGUUUCGGCGGUUGGGGAUGGACUCGCGGCUUAUCAGCUUGUUGGUGGGGUAGUGGCUUACCAAGGCUUUGACGGGUAGCCGGCCUGAGAGGGUGACCGGCCAAAUUGGGACUGAGAUACGGCCCAGACUCCUACGGGAGGCAGCAGUGGGGAAUAUUGCACAAUGGGCGGAAGCCUGAUGCAGCAACGCCGCGUGCGGGAUGACGGCCUUCGGGUUGUAAACCGCUUUGGCCUGUGACGAAGCGUGAGUGACGGUAAUGGGUAAAGAAGCACCGGCUAACUACGUG
rnacentral:rRNA from 1 species